UACGUAGGGAGCAAGCGUUGUCCGGAAUCAUUGGGCGUAAAGCGCGCGUAGGUGGCUUCGUAAGUCCGUUGUGAAAGUCAAAGGCUCAACCUUUGAAAGCCGAUGGAUACUGUGAAGCUAGAGUACGGAAGAGGCGGGUGGAAUUCCUGGUGUAGCGGUGGAAUGCGCAGAUAUCAGGAGGAACACCAAUAGCGAAGGCAGCUCGCUGGGACGUUACUGACACUGAGGCGCGAAAGCGUGGGGAGCGAACAGG
rnacentral:rRNA from 1 species